GACGAACGCUGGCGGCGUGCCUAACACAUGCAAGUCGAACGAAGCAUAGCAAUAUGCUUAGUGGCGGACGGGUGAGUAACGCGUGAACAAUCUGCCCUGUACAAAGGAAUAGCCUCGGGAAACCGGGAUUAAAACCGUAUGACACUUUAGUAUCGCAUGAUAAGAAAGUCAAAUCGAAUAGAGGUAUGGGAUGAGUUCGCGUCUGAUUAGCUAGAUGGUGAGGUAACGGCUCACCAUGGCAAUGAUGUCUAGGGGUUCUGAGAGGAAGACCCCCCAACUGGGACUGAGACACGGCCCAGACUCCUACGGGAGGCAGCAGUGAGGAAUAUUGGACAAUGGAUGGAAAUCUGAUCCAGCCAUGCCGCGUGCAGGAAGACGGCCCUAUGGGUUGUAAACUGCUUUUAUAUGGGAGCAAAUAAGGUUUACGCGUAGACCGAUGAGAGUACCAUAUGAAUAAGCAAUCGGCUAAACGUCCGUGA
rnacentral:rRNA from 1 species